rnacentral:rRNA from 1 species
UUAGAGUUUGAUCAUGGCUCACAACGUACGCUGGCGGCACGCCUAACACAUGCAAGUCGAACGAAGUAGCAAUACUUAGUGGCAGACGGGUGAGUAACAUGUGGGUAUCUGCCCUUUGGCCUGGAAUAACACGAGGAAACUUGUGCUAAUACCGGAUAAGUCUUUACAGAGAAAGCUUUAUGCACCAUUGGAUGAGCCCGCACUUGAUUAGUUUGUUGGUGGGGUAAUGGCCUACCAAGACUUUGAUCAAUAGCUGAUUUGAGAGGAUGAUCAGCCACAUUGGGACUGAGACACGGCCCAAACUCCUACGGGAGGCAGCAGUGGGGAAUCUUGCACAAUGGAGGAAACUCUGAUGCAGCGAUGCCGCGUGAGUGAAGAAGGCCCUUGGGUUGUAAAGCUCUUUCGUCGGGGAAGAAAAUGACUGUACCCGAAUAAGAAGGUCCGGCUAACUUCGUGCCAGCAGCCGCGGUAAUACGAAGGGACCUAGCGUAGUCCGGAAUUACUGGGCUUAAAGAGUUCGUAGGUGGUUGAAAAAGUUGGUGGUGAAAUCCCAGAGCUUAACUCUGGAACUGCCAUCAAAACUUUUCAGCUAGAGUUUGAUAGAGGAAAGCAGAAUUUCUAGUGUAGAGGUGAAAUUCGUAGAUAUUAGAAAGAAUACCAAUUGCGAAGGCAGCUUUCUGGAUCAUUACUGACACUGAGGAACGAAAGCAUGGGUAGCGAAGAGGAUUAGAUACCCUCGUAGUCCAUGCCGUAAACGAUGUGUGUUAGACGUUGGAAAUUUAUUUUCAGUGUCGCAGCGAAAGCGAUAAACACACCGCCUGGGGAGUACGACCGCAAGGUUAAAACUCAAAUGAAUUGACGGGGACCCGCACAAGUAGUGGAGCAUGUGGUUUAAUUCGAAGAUACGCGCAGAACCUUACCAACACUUGACAUGUUCGUCGCGACUUUAAGAGAUUAAAGUUUUCGGUUCGGCCGGACGAAACACAGGUGCUGCAUGGCUGUCGUCAGCUCGUGUCGUGAGAUGUUGGGUUAAGUCCCGCAACGAGCGCAACCCUCACUUUUAGUUGCCAUCAUUUAGUUGGGCACUCUGAAAGAACUGCCAGUGAUAAGCUGGAGGAAGGUGGGGAUGACGUCAAGUCCUCAUGGCCCUUACGUGUUGGGCUACACACGUGCUACAAUGGUAUCUACAACAGGAAGCAAAACAGCGAUGUUAAGCAAAUCCUUAAAAGAUACCUCAGUUCGGAUUGCACUCUGCAACUCGAGUGCAUGAAGCUGGAAUUACUAGUAAUCGUGGAUCAGCGUGCCACGGUGAAUGCGUUCCC